rnacentral:lncRNA from 1 species
AGGCCUGCACUUCGCAGAGUGGGGGCCCGAGACCCAAAGACCUGCAAUUCCCAAAGCAAAUUAGUGGCAGACUCAAAGCCACAGCCCAGGUCUCCUGACUUCCAGAAUACCACUUGUGAUUGUUCUAAGUUCUUCCAUUACUGAGUCUGUUUCUGAGAAUUCUGACUGAUUUGCUUCCGCCACUCAGCCUGGAGCUCUGCAGCUGUCUUCACGCACUGCCUGCUUGCCUCUUAGUGUGACUAACCCAAAGGAACCUGGCAAGCAGGAGAAACCAGACCUCCCGGCGCUCCCAAGCCACAUCCCUAUCCUGGCUUCUUCCCCAUAGAGUCUAAAUCAUCUAAAGGAGGUGAGGUGGCCAUAUGUACCUUACAGGGGUGUUGUAUGACUUUGAAGAAACAAUAAACAACACAAACAGAAGUCCCCAGCUUAGUCCUGGGCACACGGCAGGUAUUCAACACGUCAGCUGUCCACCUCAACCUCAGCCCACCUCCACCAGCUCUAGCAUACAUUCUACAGAAGACAAAGUUAAAAACAGAAAAGUAGGAUUGCCUGAGGUCA